ACGGAGAGUUUGAUCCUGGCUCAGGACGAACGCUGGCGGCGUGCUUAAUACAUGCAAGUCGAACGAGGACCAGGGAGCUUGCUCCCUGUAACCGAGUGGCGAACGGGUGAGUAACACGUGAUCAACCUGUCCUAGGGCGGGGGACAACCUGGGGAAACCUGGGCUAAUACCGCAUGAUGUCUCAUUCUCGCAUGGGAAUGAGAUCAAAGAGGGCCUCUGCUUGCAAGCUCUCACCCAAGGAGGGGAUCGCGACGUAUCAGCUUGUUGGUGGGGUAACGGCCUACCAAGGCUAUGACGCGUAGCGGGUCUGAGAGGAUGACCCGUCACAUUGGGACUGAGAUACGGCCCAGACUCCUACGGGAGGCAGCAGUAGGGAAUCUUGCACAAUGGGGGAAA
rnacentral:rRNA from 1 species